rnacentral:tRNA from 1 species
GCAUGGUUGGUUUAGUGGCAUAAUUACCGCCUGCCAUUCAGGGAUCGCGGUAGACCCGGGUUCGAUUCCCGGACCAUGCA